rnacentral:lncRNA from 1 species
GUGGCACCCAGAGUCGGUCCUGUAGCUGGGCCGGCUUGGGGCUUGGUUCUAUGUCCCUGUGGGUCGGUGCAAGGGCCAAGAGGAACCCGUAGGCCUCAGGGAAUCCCAGGGGGCCGGACCAGUGUUCCCUAGUUGUGGAAGCAGACGCAUGGGCGAAUCGCGGGAGGGCAGGGCCUGAAGAGCAGGUGCGGGCCACGGACCCAGGCGGAGGCUGGGAGGACAGGCGUGGGGUCCCAGCAGUGAAGCGGGUUCUAGAGGCACAGGAGCGGGUAGGAGAGGCCAGUGGCCCUAGGCCCAGAGUCUGCAGGCCGCGCUCCUGUCCUGCCGCUGAGGGACACGGUUACCAACCAGCAUGAUGCUCAGUUUGCCCAUCUGUCCCAGUGCUAACACACAGUUCUCAGGAGACUUUCCCCAUUCCCAGAGGAGUAGUGUGAAACGCGUGCGCCGCUAGUCUUAAACUUGGUGUUUGUAUUAGUUGGGUUUCCUGGUGUCUCUUUAGCAAGUGAAGUUUCUGGUUCCCUCCUUCACUGUGUGACCUGCCUAGUCCUCCUGGGUCGCAUUUACAGAAGUUUAUACGAGACCUAGUUUCCAGGGAAGAACUCACUGAUUCCACAAGGGAGAUGGCAUAAUAGAUGAUGGUCGUCAGCCUUAAGGGUACUUCAGUCUUAACUGUGUGUUACAAAGUUUGAAAGGGAGGGUUCCCUAUGAAUAAGAAGCACACUUGAAAGAACAGCCAUCUGGUCUAACCUCUCACUGGUGCUUCAGAGGAGGAAAAAAGGUCACAGCUAUGUUUCCAGUGUCCUCUGGGUGUUUCCAAGAGCAACAAGAAACGAAUAAAUAUCUGCCAUAGGAGUUUUAGCCAAUUCAGAGGCCUUGCUCCCCACAAUUUGGAACAUUCCUUUGGAUUUGACCAAGUCAGGAAGAGAUGGGAGAAAAGUGAAACAACAACAAUAAAA